rnacentral:rRNA from 1 species
GACGAACGCUGGCGGCGUGCCUAAUACAUGCAAGUCGAACGAACCGCGACUAGGUGCUUGCACUUGGUCAAGGUGAGUGGCGAACGGGUGAGUAACACGUGGGUAACCUACCUCAUAGUGGGGGAUAACAGUCGGAAACGACUGCUAAUACCGCAUAGGACAUAGGAUCACAUGAUCCAGUGAGGAAAGGUGGCGCAAGCUAUCGCUAAGAGAUGGACCCGCGGUGCAUUAGCUAGUUGGUAGGGUAAAGGCCUACCAAGGCGAUGAUGCAUAGCCGACCUGAGAGGGUGAUCGGCCACAUUGGGACUGAGACACGGCCCAAACUCCUACGGGAGGCAGCAGUAGGGAAUCUUCCGCAAUGGACGCAAGUCUGACGGAGCAACGCCGCGUGAGUGAAGAAGGUCUUCGGAUCGUAAAGCUCUGUUGUUAGAGAAGAACAGCGCAUAGAGUAACUGUUAUACGUGUGACGGUAGCUAACCAGAAAGCCACGGCUAACUACGUG